AAGACCUUGCGCUUUUGGAGCGGCCGAUGUCUGAUUAGCUAGUUGGUGAGGUAAAGGCUUACCAAGGCGUCGAUCAGUAGCUGGUCUGAGAGGACGACCAGCCACACUGGGACUGAGACACGGCCCAGACUCCUACGGGAGGCAGCAGUGGGGAAUUUUGGACAAUGGGGGAAACCCUGAUCCAGCCAUGCCGCGUGAGUGAAGAAGGCCUUCGGGUUGUAAAGCUCUUUCAGCCGGAACGAAACGGUCACAGCUAAUACCUGUGACUACUGACGGUACCGGAAGAAGAAGCACCGGCUAACUACGUGCCAGCAGCCGCGGUAAUACGUAGGGUGCGAGCGUUAAUCGGAAUUACUGGGCGUAAAGCGUGCGCAGGCGGUUUUGUAAGUCAGAUGUGAAAUCCCCGGGCUUAACCUGGGAACU
rnacentral:rRNA from 1 species